AAAGCCUAUAGUUAGAGAUUAGCGGGCAGUUUGCGAUUGGUUAAGCCUAAGUUUCGUUUUACUGUUUUCAUUGAGUGGGGCUUUUCUUUGCUUAGGAACCUGAGGUGUUGGAGCUGUCUCAGCCUAAUGGGCUCCCAACGAAUUAUAAUAAUAAGAGGAGGAGCAGCUGCAGCCCGGCACAGCACACUCGCACGAGGAUCUGUCUUCCCGUAGUUUCUUCUGAGUGGUUUCUGUUCUGCCUGCUGCAGGGGGUACCUUUGGUGGACACUGUGAUGUGUCACCCAGAUGCCCCUUGGCCAAAAAACGUGCUUCCCUAGCUUGUGGGAAUGCUGUCUACAGACCAAUCUGUCAGCCCCUUCAGGGUUUGCUUCAGCGGCAGAGAGCUGCUUCACCAUGGAGACAGCCAGCCACUCAGGAGAGAAGUUCCUGAGUGGGAGGCGGAACAGCAGGAAGAGGUGAGAAUGUGCCUCCAGGAACCAGCACUGGAAAUUCCCACUCGGCUGAGGAAUGCACAGGCAUUCCUGGAGCUGCACAGAAGCACAUUGUGGAAGCUGGGAUGUCCCUGGGGAAACAUAGGUUGGAAGAAUUGUUUUCUGAAUUUAUUUCUAGAGGUUGCCUUUCCUGCAGUCAGCCAUUGUCCAAACCAAAGGAAAUUCCCAAAUUUUCAUGUCUCACAGAGGCUGCAAAUCUCCUCGGCCAGGUCUUUUCUUUGUCUAAUUUUGCUUCCAACUUGCUGGAUGACAUUGGGUAACUCAAGUACCUUUCCCCAGGCAAGUGUCGGAUGAACCCAAGUUACACCAAUGGCGCUCAGCCCUCCAGACUUCUAGGCCAGGAUAAGUUCUUUAAGAAAACACAAAGUUCCAACCAGAGUUGCCACACUUUUAAUAUUUCUAUUUUUUUUGAGACAGAGUCUUGCUUUGUCACCCAGGCUGGAGUGCAGUGGUGUGUUCUUGGCUCACUGCAGCCUCCACCUCCAAGGUUCAAGCCAUCCUCCCACCUCAGCCUCCUGAGUAACUGGGACUACAGGCACAUGCCGCCGUGCCCGGAUAAGUUUUGUAAUUUUUGUAGAGGCAGGGUUUUGCAGCUGUUGCCCAAGCUGGUCUCGAACUCCUGAGCUCAAGCCAUCUGCCUGCCUCAACUUCCCCAAAUGCUGCGAUUACAAGCAUGAGCUGCCACCAUAAUUUUAUUUUGGGAGAUCAGUAUGUCAGAAUUGAAAACUGCAUUUAAUCUACAGAGGCAGGAUGAUGUGACAGUUAAGAGCACGCACAAGGAAAUUAGACUGGCCAAGUUCAGGUCCUAACUCUGUGACACGCUGCUGUGUGACUUUUAUCAAUUUGAUCUCCCCUAGUCUUAGUUUCUUUGGAAGAAAAAUUGGGUUAAUAAUUGGGCUGGGUGUGGUGGCUCACGCCUGUAAUCCCAGCACUUUGGGAGGCUGAGGCAGGCAGAUCACGAGGUCAGGAGUUCGAGACCAGCCUGGCCAACAUGGCAAAACCGUGUCUCUACCAAAAAACAAACAAACAAACAAAAAAACAAAAAUUAGCCAGGUGUGGCAGUGGGGGCCUGUAAUCCCAGCUACUUGGGAGGCUGAGGCAGGAGAAUCGCUUGAACCUGGGAGGCAGAGGUUGCAGUGAACCGUUAUCCUACCAGUGCACUGCAGCCUGGGCGACAGAGCAAGACUCUGUCUCAGAAAAAAAAAAAUGCAAAAAUUAGCAGGGUGUGGCAGCAUGCACCUAUAGUGCCAGCUGCUUGGGAGCUGAGGCAGGAGAAUCACUUGAACCCAGGAGGCAGAGGUUGCAGUGAGCCGAGAUCCCACCACUGUACUUCAGCCUGGGUGGCAGAGUAAGACUCUGUCUUAAAAAAACAAAAACAAAAACAAAAUUGUGUCUUUCUCUUAAGGUUCUUAUGUUGACUGAGAUACUGUGCAGUGCUUUAACACAAUGCCCAGAACAUGGCAACACUCAAUAAAUAUUAGCAAAAAAGAAAAGACA
rnacentral:lncRNA from 13 species